GAACUACAGCUAAUCUACAAGGUGAAAACAAGCUUUUGAAAACACUACCCUGCAUUCCUCAGCCUGCCUAGGAAUUUGGGAGGCGUGACAACGACAAAAGGGCCAGGAAAGCAAGCCAGCAAUCUCUUUUUUGAACACAUCUAGGUUUUGAACUUGGAAAAGGAAAUGGAGAGGGGGAAGCGACACAGACACAAGUCCAUCAUUCUGUGGCUAUAUUACAGAAGAAUCCCCCCUGCCUAUAACAGGGUGUGGGGCAAGGAAAGCUAAAUACGGCCUGGGAAAGCCAGCCCCCCACUUCUCCCUCCAACGCUCACGAUCUAAUUUCAGCUGUAUCAUUUCUGCUGUUAAGAUGUGGCUGCGCUUCCAAAGAAACUUUUGGGCAACUUACCUCGAGGGAGUGAGAUCAAAAAGCUGUUUUCAGCCGAAGCUGCACGCUCUGGCCCCUCCAGCCCUGAAGGAAGAGGUUCUCUCGCUUGGGACAUGUGCCAGUUCUCUCCUCCGAGUAAUGAAGAGCUUACACUCCCUUUCCUUUCGACAAGACUUAACACACGACCCUGAAGGAACAAACAAAUGAGAAGCCUGAGGGUGUAGAGCUGUUACUAUGAACCAACAAAAUAUCUAUAGGUUGGAAGACGGGAGCUCAGUUUUUUCAAGUCUUAUCUUCUAAGAGCAUGCACCGUAUACUUAGUGGAAUUGUGUGAUUAUCUCCAUUGGGAAGAAUGCGAAAGCAACCAUCCUGGAAGCUUUACUCCAAUUUGCAGUGGAGACUUUAGGGACUUCAUGGAGUGACUGUCCUGCAGAAUGCAGUCCCCAGUGGAUAUGUAAGGAGGAAGGCACUCUGUAGGAAGAGGAUGCUGCGGAUGAAAAUGUUGACUGGCAGGCUCCAAACGACAUAUGGGAGGCAUCAUGCCUACCUUCAUUGCUUCAAUGACACAACCCCUGGUACAACUUUUUUGGGGACCGCCGACCACUUAAACGUUGAUGCGUCUUUGUUGAGGCACAUCACAGCCACGUGCAGUUUGAAGUGUGGGUUUGACAGCGUGAUCGGUCAUGGUGGGAAAAUGAGGUUCUUCCCCUGUGGGAUGACAUCCUAUGGCAGAAAAAUUUUCAUAUGCCAAGGGCCACCAUCUUUGAAAUUGCGUGGCAGCUCAGACCUUCUCUCGAGAGACAGGGAACUAACAUGCGCACACCAAUCCCUGUGGAGAAGCAUGUGGCUGUAGCAGUAUGGUAGCUCGCAACCAGGGCCGGAUUAAGCUGAGCAGGGCCCCUAGGCUGAUUGGUGUUUGGGGGGCCCUUCUCCCUACCUUUCUGCUAUUUUUCACACAGGUUUGCCAUCAGUCAAGAUGGCGGCUGAGGUUUCCCUAAGGGGCUGAAGCCUCUGCUGCCAUCUUGGUUGAUGGCACCAAUGCGUGCGCAUAGCAUGCAUGCAUGCCAUCAACUAAAUGGCGGCAGAGGCUUCAACCCCUUAGGGAAACCUCGGCCACCAUCUUGAUUGAUGGCAAACCGCAAAAAACAGCGGAGAAAAAGGUAGGCGAAGCAGGGGGAUGGCGGGUGGUUCGGAAGCUCUUGUCCCGCGAUAUUUUUUUUUAGCUUAUGCAUGGGCCCCCAAGAGCUCUGGGCCCCUAGGCUUCAGCCUAUCAAGCCUAAUGGAUAAUCCGGCCCUGCUUGCAACCCUAGAAUGCUACAGGGAGGUGGCGGUGAACUUAGGAAUUGGAAAGGCGACUGUCGCUGGGAUUGUUUUGGAGGUGUGCUUCGCAACUGAACAUGUGCUACUCCACAAAACUGUUGAGCUGGGGAACCACCACGAGAUUAGAAUUUUAACUCUUGUACUGCCUUUACUUCUCUCUUUCAGCUAACAUUCCUUUCAAAUGUCCAUGUUAUUUCAUUUCCUCUUACAUCUGGAAAUUUUCAUCGGCAUGCCAUUCCCUUGCACUACGAAGCACUUUAAUCCUUCUCACACAUCUUCGGAAGUGGUGCUGUUUUGGGGGGGGGUUUGGAAACUCCAACACCUGAGCGCUGCCUCUUUCUCUUGAAUACUACACAUCCUAAAUUAUGGUUCGUUCUUUCUUGUGUUUUUUUUGCAAUUCUGUGUUGGAUUUACUUUCCUUAUCCUUU